rnacentral:lncRNA from 1 species
UCAAAAGCAUGAAAAUAAAAAUUACAUAAAAAUGUAGGUAUAAAUAGAAAAAUUCAUAAAUUUUUUAAAAAUGUUAUUGUCAACAUUUUUUUGUAAAUCAUCUUUUCAACAUUUUUUUUUUCAAAUCAUCAUUUCAACAUAUGAUUUCCUCUACUAGUGAUAAGGAUCCUAUCCGGGGAUGAAACUUCAUCUUACAUGUGUGGUUUUCGCAGUGUUUGGUCUCGGGAUUCUAGUGUCUGACGUUUGGCAUAGAUAAGCGUCUCUGGUCUAUGCUGGAGCUCGGUUGUAAUUUUGGUUUGUGCUUCUUACAAUUGUGAUAGCUGGAAAAGCAUGGUUCGAGAGGUUAUUAUUUUCCUUUUCGGCUUCCAUCUUGUCUGUUAGUUUAUGGGUUUCUUGCCAGUUCCUUGGUUUAAUAAUCUUUUGGUUGGGAUUGGCUUAGUCGAUCUGUGUAUAUGUUCUCUGCUCUUCUAUUUUUCUCUGCUUUCAUUUAUUUCUGUUCAUUAUUAAUGAAAAUCUUUUUAAAAAAUUUUCUUUUAUUUUUUUUGCUUUUUUUUCUUUGUCCACCUCUCCACUAUUUUUGAAAAUAUCAAGUUAUGCGAUGAUAUUUUCACAAAGAGGAGAAGAUUAAAGUCGAUAUAUAUAAUUAAUGAAUAUACUUUGACAUGCAUUUAAAGGGUGGGAAAGACGAAGAGGACAUGAUAAUUGUUUUCAUCAGGUUCUGAAACAACGCCUUAAAAGAAUUACAUUUGGCUGCUUAAUGUCUUGUUGUUUCAGUAGAAAACAUAUAUAGAAACUCAAAAACUAAACUAAGAAAUAAAAAAACAAACACUGACCACAGGACACACGGAUUGUCGACCGACCAGAGACCAAAAAGAGUUUUACUUUUAAUCAUUAAUAAUCCCACUCUUUUUCUUAUAGCCAAACCCACUUUCUUUUUCUUUUCUUCCUUCUUUAAUCUUAUUUUUGGGACAACAUUCCUUGUUUAAUCUAAUCUAAUUAAUCCAGAUUUUCUAAGUUAUAGAUUUGUCUUAAGUGCACCGGAG